rnacentral:rRNA from 1 species
AUUGAGCGCUGGCGGAAUGCUUUACACAUGCAAGUCGAACGGUAGAGGGGGCAACCCCUCGAGAGUGGCGAACGGGUGAGUAAUAUAUCGGAACGUGCCCAGCCGUGGGGGAUAACGUAGCGAAAGUUACGCUAAUACCGCAUACGAUCUAAGGAUGAAAGCGGGGGAUCGCAAGACCUCGCGCGAUUGGAGCGGCCGAUAUCAGAUUAGGUAGUUGGUGGGGUAAAGGCUCACCAAGCCAACGAUCUGUAGCUGGUCUGAGAGGACGACCACCCACACUGGAACUGAGACACGGUCCAGCCUCCUACGGGAGGCAGCAGUGGGGAAGUUUGGACCAUGGACGCAAGUCUGAUCCAGCCAUUCCGCGUGCAGGAUGAAGGCCCUCGGGUUGUAAACUGCUUUUGUACGGAACGAAAAGGUCUCUCUUAAUACGGGGGACUCAUGACGGUACCGUAAGAAUAAGCACCGGCUAACUACGUGCCAGCAGCCGCGGUAA